ensembl:lncRNA
CGAGAUGCAACACAAAUCUAUCCGCUCUCCUCAGAACGAGCUGAGCUUUCAUUGAUAAACCAAUGCGGUUGUCUGCCUCUCCCGAGGCCCCGCGGUCUACUGGUACUCGUUCAAACGGGUAGACAAAUCAAAUAAUAGCCUACACCUGUGUAGGUCCUCAACAUAGCAGAUAUUUUAAUACAUUGAAAGCCAUGAAUACUGAAAAUGGAAUGUUAUGCUCAAAAUCACCGCCGACUGAUGAAGUCAGGAUGCAUACGCAAGUUGAGUAAUUGGCAGCUGGCCGCUCUGUCCAUUCGCGCACCUCACAGUUGCGUAUUGAUCAGACAAGAAGACACGCUUAUCAACUCGAUUACUAUUGAUCAAAACAGAACGAGGGUUCGGCUGUAGCCUAUACUUGAAACCUACUAUUGAGAACAUAUUCACUGACAUGCAUUGCACGCGUGAUGAAUUGUGGCUUAAUGGUGUUUUGAGCCCUCACCGUCGACUUCAAGGCGGCAGCUGCCUGGAAGGCGCUCCUAGCUUUCCACUUUAGAGAAGACGUUGGUUUGAAUUUGAGCAAGCAGCUAGCUAGCAGUUGUCUACACUUGGUUGAAAAUCUAAUUACGGUAGAUUCAUGCUAGCAUUGUGCUAAAUAAUUAGACAGCUAACAUGAAUUAGUGGUGUUAACAUAAAGUCAGUUAUUGUAUAUGGCAUUAAUAUUAUUCUAAAACACCUUCACUAGUUGUUUUAACCAGAUUUGUAAGUAGGUUGAAAACAAAAUUUUUGAAGUAAAGUGCCUUGGUUUAAAACAGCUAAAAGCUAGCUACAUUAAGUUGCUUGCUCAAAUCUCAAAUUCAAACCAACGUCUUCUCUAAAGUGGCAAGCUUGGAGAAGCCUCUGUUCAAUGAUUGGGGGUGGGAGGCGGGAUGCGCCUUCCAGGCAGCUGCUGCCCUGAAGUCGACGGUAAGGGCUCAAAACACCAUUAAGUUGAAUUGCGCCAUGAAUGUUUUUUUUUUUCUUUUUUCCCCAUCACGGACUUUUUUUUUGCCUUAGGCGCUCGGGAUUUGUCAUAGGCGCACGGGAAAACGGCUUAGGCGCGCGCCCAAAUGUUCUCUAUGCAGGAAAAACCCUGCUGAAGGAGUGAUGCAGUGAGGUACGGAGAGACCUAGAGAGCGGCCCCAGGAGGCACAUCAGACGGUUGUGAAAGUGCAGACUGUGGCACAGAUCCGUCCUGUGAGACACUCAGUCUGUUGGAGAACAGAUGGUUCUUUAGAGGUACACACAGAGCAGAGGCGGUUCUUUAGAGAUACACGCAGAGCCGAGGCGGUUCUUUAGUGGAAAACACAGAGCAGAGGCGGUUCUUUAGAGAUGCACACAGAGCCGAGGCGUACAGAGGCCUUAGAAUAACCCGCCAGUAGAUAUGAC